AGAGUUUGAUCCUGGCUCAGAACGAACGCUGGCGGCAGGCUUAACACAUGCAAGUCGAACGCUCGUAGCAAUACGGGAGUGGCAGACGGGUGAGUAACGCGUGGGAACAUACCCUUUGGUUCGGAAUAACUGAGAGAAAUUUCAGCUAAUACCGGAUGUGCCCUUCGGGGGAAAGAUUUAUCGCCAAAGGAUUGGCCCGCGUCUGAUUAGGUAGUUGGUGAGGUAACGGCUCACCAAGCCGACGAUCAGUAGCUGGUCUGAGAGGAUGAUCAGCCACACUGGGACUGAGACACGGCCCAGACUCCUACGGGAGGCAGCAGUGGGGAAUAUUGGACAAUGGGGGCAACCCUGAUCCAGCCAUGCCGCGUGAGUGAUGAAGGCCUUAGGAUUGUAAAGCUCUUUCGUCAGGGAAGAUAAUGACGGUACCUGAAGAAGAAGCCCCGGCUAACUUCGUG
rnacentral:rRNA from 1 species